GAAUAUUGCCCAAUGGAGGAAACUCUGAGGCAGCAACGCCGCGUGAACGAUGACGGCCUUCGGGUUGUAAAGUUCUUUUCUCAGGGACGAUGAUGACGGUACCUGAGGAAUAAGUCCCGGCUAACUACGUGCCAGCAGCCGCGGUAAAACGUAGGGGACGAGCGUUCUCCGGAUUUACUGGGCGUAAAGCGCCCGUAGGCGGCUUUAUAAGUUGGACGUGAAAGCUCCCGGCUUAACUGGGAGAGGCCGUUCAAAACUGUAGGGCUAGAGUGAGGCAGAGGAGCGCGGAAUUCCCGGUGUAGUGGUGGAAUGCGUAGAUAUCGGGAGGAACACCAGUGGCGAAAGCGGCGCUCUGGGCCUAAACUGACGCUGAGGGGCGAAAGCGUGGGGAGCGAACGGG
rnacentral:rRNA from 1 species